GAAGAGACAGAGUCCUAAAGUUACUGUGGUGUAGACAUCAACAACCAUGGAUGAUCUUGGAUGUGUCAUUACUUCUCUGGGUCUUGAUAUCCUAAAAUACAAAAGGAAAGAUUACACUAAGCCGUCUCUCUGAUCCCGUUAGCUCCAACCCUCUGUGAUCUUGAAGAUGUAAUCUCUGGUUUAUAGAUCUGCAUUUAUGUCAAGGGAAAUGUCAUGUAUGUGUGGUGUCUGUUUGAUGGCCAUGUGACAGCUGAAGACUGGCUCUGAUGGAUGACUUAAGUAACCUCUGGAGGGUACCCACACUGUGACCAUAAACCACUAUGCCCGUGUGGAAAACACUGCAGUCCUGGGGCAAAAGACAAACUUCAUGCUUGAUAAAAAACAACUAAAAGCCAAACCUCUUCAAGACUAAGCCCUUGAUCUUGAUGUCAGUUUGUAAGACUAACACUUUGAUGGAGGUGAGAGACUCAUGUAUGAAUAGUGAUGGAGGAGCCAUGGAGCUAGAAGUUCUAGAUCCCAUAUAUUGUGGAAUUUUGGUGUAAUAAUUGGAGUUCAGGCUAAGUUUGAAGUCGACACCCCCUGACUAAGCAGAACACUGACAAGAUGUGACAUCUCUGCCAACUUGAGGAUCUACUUUGGCCUGGGAAAAUUGGAAGAGACCUUGUAAUGGAAGCGAGGACACCAAGAAGUAUAACAAAAGAUAUCUG